rfam:Cricetulus griseus cell line CHO-K1, whole genome shotgun sequence.
GCCCAGCUAGCUCAAUCUGUAGAACAUGGGACUCUUAAUCCCAGGGUCUUGGGUUCAAGCCCCAUGUUGGGCG